rnacentral:rRNA from 1 species
AUUGAACGCUGGCGGCAUGCCUUACACAUGCAAGUCGAACGGCAGCACGGGAGCAAUCCUGGUGGCGAGUGGCGAACGGGUGAGUAAUGUAUCGGGACGUGCCCAGUCGUGGGGGAUAACGUAGCGAAAGCUACGCUAAUACCGCAUACGAUCUAUGGAUGAAAGCGGGGGAUCGCAAGACCUCGCGCGAUUGGAGCGGCCGAUAUCAGAUUAGGUAGUUGGUGGGGAAAAGGCCCACCAAGCCUGCGAUCGGUAGCUGGUCUGAGAGGACGACCAGCCACACUGGAACUGAGACACGGUCCAGACGCCUACGGGAGGCAGCAGUGGGGAAUUUUGGACAAUGGGCGCAAGCCUGAUCCAGCAAUGCCGCGUGCAGGAUGAAGGCCUUCGGGUUGUAAACUGCUUUUGUACGGAACGAAACGGCUUUUUCUAAUACAGAGAGCUAAUGACGGUACCGUAAGAAUAAGCACCGGCUAACUCUGUGCCAGCCGCCGCCGUAAAAC